CUCGUAGGUGGCCAACUAAGUCAGACGUGAAAUCCCUCGGCUUAACCGGGGAACUGCGUCUGAUACUGGAUGGCUUGAGUUUGGGAGAGGGAUGCGGAAUUCCAGGUGUAGCGGUGAAAUGCGUAGAUAUCUGGAGGAACACCGGUGGCGAAGGCGGCAUCCUGGACCAAUACUGACGCUGAGGAGCGAAAGCCAGGGAGCAAACG
rnacentral:rRNA from 1 species